AAGUCGUAACAAGGUUUCCGUAGGUGAACCUGCGGAAGGAUCAUUAUCACAAAUGAUUUUAACUCUCUUAAUCCAGAGUUAACCUCUUCUUAAACCAAUCUAACAAAAUGUGAAAUCGUUUUAUAUAUAUAUUUAUAUUCUCGCAAGAGAAUAUAUAUAUAUGUAUAUUAUUAACCAAUUGAACCUUUUUCUAUAUUGUUAUUUUAAUUAAAUUUAGUACUGAACUAUAUAUAUUGUUAUUCAAUAACAAUAUUAUAAUACAUUACGAAACAAUUUAAAUAAAACAACUCUUAGCAACGGAUAUCUUGGUUCUC
rnacentral:misc_RNA from 1 species